rnacentral:rRNA from 1 species
AUAUUCCUACGGGGCGCAGCAGUAGGGAAUCUUCCACAAUGGGCGAAAGCCUGAUGGAGCAACGCCGCGUGCGUGAAGAAGGUCUUCGGAUCGUAAAACCCUGUUGUUAGAGAAGAAAGUGCGUGAGAGUAACUGUUCACAUUUCGACGGUAUCUAACCAGAAAGCCACGGCUAACUACGUGCCAGCAGCCGCGGUAAUACGUAGGUGGCAAGCGUUAUCCGGUUUUAUUGGGCGUAAAGGGAACGCAGGCGGUCUUUUAAGUCUGAUGUGAAAGCCUUCGUCUUAACCGGAGUAGUGCAUUGGU